UCCCGGCUGGAUGGGGUGAAGCCUCCCCGCUCUGGAGCGCCAGGGCACCCACUGGACGAUGCUGCGAGCUCCGCCAGCGCCGGGGCGACCCCCGCUUCUAAAUAAUAGACAUAAUUAAAAAAAACCCGACAACAGCCGAACGAGGAGCAGGGAGUCUGGGAGGCUCCCACCGCGCCUUCUGCAGCAGUGGGGAGCGGAGGGUUUGCAGGAUAUAUCUGGCCAGAUGUGCACUUCUACCCAACAGAUGGCUGUUCAGCACUAGUCACCAUCCAUUUGGAGUCAGCUCAGAGAAAUGAGCCCUUCCAGGCAAGCAUGGCUGAAGAGGAACUUGCAGGUCUUUCUGGCUGGGAGAAAUAAGAAGGAGUUUUCCCAACAGAGUCCUGAUGUUCCACUUGGGGAUCUUCUACCACAAGCU